rnacentral:rRNA from 1 species
GAUGAACGCUGGCGGCGUGCCUAAUACAUGCAAGUCGAGCGAACGGACGAGAAGCUUGCUUCUCUGAUGUUAGCGGCGGACGGGCGAGUAACACGUGGAUAACCUACCUAUAAGACUGGGAUAACUUCGGGAAACCGGAGCUAAUACCGGAUAAUAUUUUGAACCGCAUGGUUCAAAAGUGAAAGACGGUCUUGCUGUCACUUAUAGAUGGAUCCGCGCUGCAUUAGCUAGUUGGUAAGGUAACGGCUUACCAAGGCAACGAUGCAUAGCCGACCUGAGAGGGGGUUCGGCCACACUGAAACUGGGACACGGUCCAGACUCCAACGGGAGGAAGCGGUGGGAAAUCUUCCGAAAGGGGCGAAAGCCUGACGGAGAAACGCCGCGGAGGUGAGGAAGGUCUUCGAAUCUAAAACCCCUGUAAUUGGGAAGAAACAUAGGGGUAGUAACUGUGCACAUCUUGACGGUACCUAAUCAGAAAGCCACGGCUAACUACGUG